rnacentral:rRNA from 1 species
AACGAACGCUGGCGGCAUGCCUAACACAUGCAAGUCGAACGAGACCUUCGGGUCUAGUGGCGUACGGGUGCGUAACGCGUGGGAACCUGCCCUUAGGUUCGGAAUAACUCCCCGAAAGGGGUGCUAAUACCAGAUAAUGUCUUCGGACCAAAGAUUUAUCGCCUUUGGAUGGGCCCGCGUUGGAUUAGCUAGUUGGUAGGGUAAAAGCCUACCAAGGCGACGAUCCAUAGCUGGUCUGAGAGGAUGAUCAGCCACACUGGGACUGAGACACGGCCCAGACUCCUACGGGAGGCAGCAGUGGGGAAUAUUGGACAAUGGGCGAAAGCCUGAUCCAGCAAUGCCGCGUGAGUGAUGAAGGCCUUAGGGUUGUAAAGCUCUUUUACCCGGGAUGAUAAUGACAGUACCGGGAGAAUAAGCUCCGGCUAACUCCGUG